CAUUUCCCAAACUAUUAGAAAAAAAUUCUGAACAAGCUACAUUGAUUCAAUUUUCGUUGUUCGUUUUGUUCUUAUUCGCUGACAUUUGUUUUCCAAUUGCGUGAAAUUUGGUCAUUUCCUUAGUGUUUCGCUGACCGACCUGUGCUGGUAUUGUGAUUAAGAGCUAAUACACAUUUUUCGGACGAUUCUGCUGUGCUGCGUUCCUGCUCCGCCUGUAUAUUGCUCCGCCCGUAUUUUAUAGUGUUGCGUUCCUGUUGCGCCUUUGCAUUAGUGUGUGCGUUGUGAUUUAGACACGUUGAAAUUUUUUGUAUGCUUCUGCUGUGCUGCGUUCCUGCUCCACCCGUGUAUUAGAUUGCUGCGUUCCUGUUAACAUACAUAUCGUCGCUUAAAGUACAAAACCGCGUAACUGACAUUUGCUGCUAAAAAUUGGAUUCGCUCACACACGUUUUUGGAUCAAUCCUUAUCCAUUCUUCCUGAAAUAUACUAGCCAAAAAUGCGAUUGCUUUUUACAAAAAGAUAACCAUUUUGAAAUAUGAGUGUUUUUACUCUCUAGAAAUUAAUUUAUGCAACCUCGCAUACGUGGGUUUGCAUUAUCUCUAUACGCGGUUUUGCAAUUUAUUGAUACAUGGUUUUGUACUUUAAACGACGAUAUGUAUGUAGAUGUAUGUACAUGUAUAUCACAUAUAUUGACUUAGAUAUGUAUACACAAUUAAUGGUGUACAUA